CCGAGCCAAAUAUCUGGAGACCACAAUACCAGAGACUUGAAGGAUUAAUAACACGACAGACUGCACGUUCAGCCGUGUUUUGUUUCCUGGAUCGUUUUCCUCAGGAAGCGGUUUAUGAAGAGCAGGAGCAGAUCUUCAUCAUCUGGUUAUAAGGAUUGAUAACAGGACUGCACGUUCAGCCGUGUUUUGUUUUCCUGGAUCGUUUUCAUCGGGAAGCGGUUUAUGAAGAGCAGGAGCAGACCUUCAUCAUCUCUGGACUCCAUCAGGGAUACGAAUGUUGGAUCAGCGUAAAUGAUCUCUCCAUCACCAGUCUCAACUGUUUCAUCUAUAAUAAUAGAUGCAUUAAAUCAACUAAAUAAAAUCCCUAGCAGAGCAUGUAUCAGAUGCAGAACAUCACGACGACGACUGUAAAUACAAUCACCAGAGAUCCAGCAGAGAUCAACACUAUCAGAGACACUGGCGAG